rnacentral:rRNA from 1 species
AGCAGCCGCGGUAAUUCCAGCUCCAAUAGCGUAUAUUAAAGUUGUUGCAGUUAAAAAGCUCGUAGUUGAAUUUCGGGAUUUGUCAGUUGGUCGGGCUUCACUGUCCGUAUUGACUUGAUGGAUUCUUACCUUCUGAAUAACCAGCAUGCUAUUAAGUUAGUGCGUUGGGGAAGCAGAUCUAUUACCUUGAAAAAAUUAGAGUGCUUAAAGCGAGCUAGUGCUUGAAUAGAUUAGCAUGGAAUAAUAAAAUAGGACGGCAUGGUUCUAUUUUGUUGGUUUCUAGGAUCACCGUAAUGAUUAAUAGGGAUAGUUGGGGGCAUUAGUACUCAAUUGUCAGAGGUGAAAUUCUUGGAUUUAUUGAAGACUAACUUCUGCGAAAGCAUUUGCCAAGGAUGUUUUCAUUAAUCAAGAACGAAAGUUAGGGGAUCGAAGACGAUCAGAUACCGUCGUAGUCUUAA